GUGCCAGCCGCCGCGGUACUACCGGCAGCCCGAGUGAUGGCCGAUCUUAUUGGGCCUAAAGCGUCCGUAGCUGGCUGCGCAAGUCCGUCGGGAAAUCCACUCGCCCAACGAGUGGGCGUCCGACGGAAACUGCACAGCUUGGGACCGGAAGACCCGAGGGGUACGUCCGGGGUAGGAGUGAAAUCCUGUAAUCCUGGACGGACCGCCGGUGGCGAAAGCGCCUCGGGAGGACGGACCCGACAGUGAGGGACGAAAGCCAGGGUCUCCAACCGGAUUAGAAACCCCUGUAGUCC
rnacentral:rRNA from 1 species